AUGAAGUGGACUUUCCAACUACUCUUAUCAAGCUGGCUGGUUUCCCAACUCUACUGCUGGGAAGUAACGCACCCCACGGGGGAUUUACCCCUGAAACUCAAAAUAUCACUUAACACUGUGGCAUCAGCCAGAGAGCUGGCAAUCACUGUGAAGACCAGGCCCAAGGCAUCCUAUGAGCCUCGUAAGGCUUUCAGUCUAACCAUCACUGGAGACCCGGGAGCGAAAGUAGGGCUGGUACUUGUAGACAAGGGAGUCUACGUUCUCAACAGCAAACACCGUCUCACACAGACCAAGAUCUGGGACAACAUAGAGAAGCAUGAUACAGGCUGUACAGCUGGAGGGGGAGCAGACAAUAUGGGGGUGUUCUACGAUGCUGGUCUGGUAUUUGAGACCAACACUGCUAAAGGGACUGGGAUCAGAACAGACCCCAGCUGUCCUGUUAGUUCUAGGCGGAGACGAGCAGUGACCAUCAGUGACGUCAUCACUAGUAUGGCCAGUAAGUACAAUGGUCUGGCCAAGGAGUGUUGUGUGGGCGGGAUGAGGGACAACACCAUGGGAUAUACCUGUGACAGACGGGCCCAGUACAUCACAGAUGGGGACGUCUGUGUCCAAGCCUUCCUUGUCUGCUGCACUGAGAUGGCCUCCAAGAAGAUAGAAUCCAAACAGGAUGCACUGCUGCUCUCACGCAGUGAGGAGGAUGAUGAUGAUGCGUACAUGCGGUCUGAAGACAUUGUGUCUCGUCGUCAGAUCCCUGAAAGCUGGAUGUGGGAGGACAACCAAUCUUCCUGAAUGCCCUGCCCAAAACAAGCACUGUGAGUCCACAUCUGUAAUAAGGAACAACUUCUUAAAGGAUUCCAUCACCACCUGGCAAAUAACAGCCAUCAGCCUGUCUAAAACUCAUGGCAUCUGUGUGGCAGAUCCGUUUGAGAUGAUAGUUCUAAAGGAGUUCUUCAUCGACCUCAAGCUGCCCUACUCAGCCGUCAGCAAUGAACAGCUGGAGGUCAAAGCAAUCCUCCACAACUACAGCGAAGACCCCAUCAUUGUGCGUGUGGAGCUAAUGGAGAAUGACGAGGUGUGCAGCUCGGCAAGCAAGAAGGGUUAGUACAGGCAGGAAGUGAACAUGGACGCCAUGUCCACCCGGGUUGUCCCCUAUGUCAUCAUCCCUAUGAAGCUGGGCAUGUACUCCAUUGAGGUCAAGGCAUCUGUGAAAAACUCUGACAGCAAUGACGAAGUGAAGAGAGAUCUAAGUGUUGUGGCUGAGGGAGUACUGGUCAAGAAGGAAACCAACAUACUCCUGAACCCGGCUAAACAUGGUGGUGAGCAAACGUCACACAUACCCAGUGGAGUUCCCCGGAACCAGGUGCCAAACUCUGAUGCUAACACACUGAUCAGUCUGACUGGUUGAGAGCAGACCAGUGUGCUGGUGGAGCAGGCCAUCAGUGGAGAAUCUCUGGGCAGUCUGAUAGUUCAGCCAGUCGGAUCUGGGGAACAGAACAUGAUCUACAUGACCCUGCCUGUCAUUGCUACACACUACCUAGACAACACCAAAAAGUGGGAGGAUAUUGGCCUGGACAGACGGAACACAGCCAUCAAGUACAUCAACAUUGGUUACCAACGUGAGCUGGCCUACCGUAAAGAAGAUGGCUCCUACGCUGCCUGGGUCAGCAGACAGAGCAGCACCUGGCUGACAGCAUACGUGGUGAAGGUGUUUGCCAUGUCCAGUACAUUAAUCAGUGUUCAGGAAAACGUGCUCUGUACUGCUGUCAAGUGGCUGAUCCUGAACACACAACAGCCAGGUGGCAUCUUCAAUGAGUUUGCUCCUGUCAUUCAUGCAGAGAUGACGGGUAACGUGAGGGGAUCAGACAAUGACGCCUCCAUGACAGCUUUUGUUCUCAUCGCCAUGCAGGAAGCACACUCACUGUGUGAGCAGUAUGUCAACAGCCUACAAGUCAGUAUGGCUAAAGCAGUAGCGUACCUCGAUAAGCGUUUGCCCCACCUGACGAACCCCUAUGCUGUAGCUAUGACCUCCUAUGCUCUGGCCAAUGCAGGGAAACUCAACAAGGAAACCCUAUUGAAGUUCGCCUCUCCACAGCUGGACCACUGGCCAGUCCCUGGUGUUCACCAGUACACGUUGGAGGCCACGUCGUACGCCCUGCUUGCCCUGGUCAAGGUGAAGGCCUUCGAAGAGAACGGCCCCAUAGUCAGGUGGCUCAACAAGCAGAAGAAGGUGGGAGGGGGAUACGGAUCCACACAGUCCACCAUCAUGGUGUUCCAGGCUGUGGCUGAGUAUUGGAGCCAUGUGAAGGACCUGAAAGACUUUGACUUGAACAUCAACCUAGAGGUGGCCGGCAGACCAUCAGUCACCAGGUGGUCCAUCAACAACAAGAACCAGUUCCACACUCGUACAGACAAGGUCAACUCCAUAGACAAGGACUUGACUGUAAAAGCCUCAGGAAAUGGUGAGGCGACCUUGUCGGUGGUGACACUGUACUAUGCCCUGCCAGAGGAAAAGGACAGUGACUGUGAAAGCUUUGACCUCUCUGUCACCCUCACUAAGAUGGACAAAACAAGUCACGAGGACGCCAAGGAGUCAUUUAUGCUCAAUAUUGAGGUGUUGUAUCGAAACUCAGAGAGAGAUGCGACCAUGUCUAUUCUGGACAUCGGCUUGCUGACCGGCUUCAUUGUGGACACAGACGAUCUGAAUCAGUUGUCCAAGGGGAGGGAGCGCUACAUAGAGAAGUUUGAGAUGGACAAAGUUCUGUCUGAAAGAGGAUCUCUCAUCCUAUAUCUGGACAAGGUGUCUCAUAAGUUAGAAGACAGAAUAUCAUUUAAGAUCCACAGAGUACAGGAAGUGGGAGUUCUUCAGCCAGCUGCCGUCUCUGUAUAUGAAUACUACAACCAGAAGCACUGUGUGAAGUUCUACCACCCACAGAGGGAGGGUGGUACUCUGAGCAGACUGUCUCUUGGAGAUGUGUGCGGAAGAGAGCUGCAGUAUGCAGAAGAAAGAUGAGCCAGAUGUCAACCGCAACACUUACGGUGGUGUCCUAGGAGAAGAGACAUGGAUAGAGUACUGGCCCUCACAACAAGAGUGCACAUCCAGAAUAUACAGAGAAGUCUGUCUGGGCAUUGAUGAGUUCAUCAACCAGAUCACAACCUUCGGCUGCCCUGUUUAGUUUCUCUUCUUGCUUUGUUAAAUGUACAUUUUUGUAACAUUGCAAUCCAGGUUGCAUGCCCUGUCAUAACUCAUUGUAACCUAUAGAGUGAAUAGAGAUGAGUUUGCCCACUUAGAAUAUAUUCUGUUAGAAAUUGACCAGUAAAUGAUGUACACCGUGUAUAACAAAAAAUAUAUAUCUUUAAAGUUAAAAUAUGAUGAUGACGACUGCAAAUGGCACACUUAUACAUUUAAGUCUAUAUCGUCAUUGAUUACAAUGACAUAGUCACAUU